AGUGAACGCUGGCGGUAGGCCUAACACAUGCAAGUCGAACGGCAGCACAGUAAGAGCUUGCUCUUACGGGUGGCGAGUGGCGGACGGGUGAGGAAUACAUCGGAAUCUACUUUUUCGUGGGGGAUAAUGUAGGGAAACUUACGCUAAUACCGCAUACGACCUACGGGUGAAAGCAGGGGAUCUUCGGACCUUGCGCGAUUGAAUGAGCCGAUGUCGGAUUAGCUAGUUGGCGGGGUAAAGGCCCACCAAGGCGACGAUCCGUAGCUGGUCUGAGAGGAUGAUCAGCCACACUGGAACUGAGACACGGUCCAGACUCCUACGGGAGGCGGCAGUGGGGAAUAUUGGACAAUGGGCGCAAGCCUGAUCCAGCCAUACCGCGUGGGUGAAGAAGGCCUUCGGGUUGUAAAGCCCCUUUGUUGGGAAAGAAAAGCAGCAGGUUAAUACCCCGCUGUUCUGACGGUACCCAAAGAAUAAGCACCGGCUAACUUCGUG
rnacentral:rRNA from 1 species